rnacentral:tRNA from 1 species
GCCGUGGUGGCGGAAUGGCAGACGCGAAGGUCUCAAAAACCUUUGUCCUUCACUGGGCAUGUGAGUUCGACUCUCACCCACGGCA